CCCGGUGGCCACCAGGUUCUCCUUGUUGUCUAGCCCUGCCUCUCCUGCCGCACUCCUGUGUUCUAGCUGGACAUGGACACCAGCAGCUCAUCAUCCCCACGUGAAGGGCGAGAAAGCUGAGGCUCUGAGAGAUGAAUCAACCCUCCACAGGCCACAGGGCAAAACCCUAAAGCGAAGACACGGUCAGGAUGGCUUCCUGGGCAGAGGUAUGCCAUGUCAUGGGAUGCAAUGUCUGGAACUUCAGCAGCUAUCUUGUGCCUAUGAGGGAAGUCACAACAACUGAGGAUCACGGAGGAGCAAGAAGGGAGCAGCAGUACUGGACAGCCAAAGCUGUCCCGAGGAGCUAGAAAAUGGAACAGAUGAUUGCUAUGCCUCCUGCUUUUCUCAGCAUCCAGCUGACUGGGUCUCCUGCCAUGAAGCUAAACACGAGCCAGGGUUUAGAAAUGCGCUGUUUGCUCAUCAGGCCAUGCACAGUUUGCUGACAACUACCCACUUGGCUUCUUCAGCCAGACUUCCCAGACCUCGACUGUAUCAUCAAGACCCUCUGCAAGGAACAGAACCCCAAUCCCAAACGGUUCAGGCAGUUCUUAUUUCCUAAGAAGAGAAGUCCUGAGGCCCGAUGGCUCCAGGAAGUGGAUCUGCCCGGUUAUCAAGAUCCAGGUUCUGUCUGUCCUGCUCUGCUCUCGACGUUUGCUCCUCAAGCACCACAGCUCCCCUGGUGGCUGCAAGAUGGCUGCUGACACUGCAGACACCACCUGUGGACACGAUAUGUCUGCAGGUUGGAGAGGGACCAUCUUUUUCCAUGGGAUAUUUUUGAAAUCAAGAAACCUUUCUUCUGAAGCACCCCUAGCAAAUU